rnacentral:rRNA from 1 species
UACGUAGGGGGCUAGCGUUGUCCGGAAUCAUUGGGCGUAAAGAGCGUGUAGGCGGUCCGGUAAGUCCGCUGUGAAAGUCGGGGGCUCAACCCUCGAAUGCCGGUGGAUACUGUCGGGCUCGAGUCCGGAAGAGGCGAGUGGAAUUCCUGGUGUAGCGGUGAAAUGCGCAGAUAUCAGGAGGAACACCAAUGGCGAAGGCAGCUCGCUGGGACGUGACUGACGCUGAGACGCGAAAGCGUGGGGAGCAAACAGG